rnacentral:misc_RNA from 1 species
AGGACACUCCUGGCGUCCUUAGGUCGUAUUUUGGCCAAGCGCGUGCGGUACCACCCGGGAGACCAGCUUCCGUCCCAUUUCCGCGAGAGCAAGGGGGGAGGACAAUUUGUGACCCCCAGGCAAACRUGCCCUCGGACARAAGGCUUGGGGCGCAACUUUYGUUCAAAGACUCGAUGGUUCACGGGAUUCUGCAAUUCACACCAAGUAUCUCAUUUCGCAACCUUCUUCACCGAUGCSAGAGCCCAGAUAUCCGUUGCCAAGAGUCGUUUUAGACUUUACUUUGCUGAAAUGCUUCCACCCAARCACCRUCUCCGGUUUGAAGAAAAC